GAUGAACGCUGGCGGCGUGCCUAAUACAUGCAAGUCGAGCGAACGGACGAGAAGCUUGCUUCUCUGAUGUUAGCGGCGGACGGGUGAGUAACACGUGUAAACCUACCUUUACGGUUAGGUAAACUCCGGGAAAUCGGGCUAAAAACCGGUAAAAACUUUUGACCCAAUGGUUUAAAAGGUAAAGAACGGCUUUCUGGUACUUAAUGGCGGAUUCGCGCUGCAUUGGCUAGGUGGUUAGGUAACGGCUUUCCAAGGGAACGAUGGAUUGCCGACCUGAGAGGGUGAUCGGCCACACGGGAGCUGAGACACGGUCCAGGCUCCUACGGGAGGCAGCAGUAGGGAAUCUUCCGCAAUGGGCGAAAGCCUGACGGAGCAGCGCCGCGUGAGUGAUGAAGGUCUUCGGAUCGUAAAACUCUGUUAUUAGGGAAGAACAUAUGUGUAAGUAACUGUGCACAUCUUGACGGUACCUAAUCAGAAAGCCACGGCUAACUACGUG
rnacentral:rRNA from 1 species